rnacentral:rRNA from 1 species
GAUGAACGCUGGCGGCGUGCCUAAUACAUGCAAGUCGAGCGAACAGACGAGGAGCUUGCUCCUCUGACGUUAGCGGCGGACGGGUGAGUAACACGUGGAUAACCUACCUAUAAGACUGGGAUAACUUCGGGAAACCGGAGCUAAUACCGGAUAAUAUAUUGAACCGCAUGGUUCAAUAGUGAAAGACGGUUUUGCUGUCACUUAUAGAUGGAUCCGCGCCGCAUUAGCUAGUUGGUAAGGUAACGGCUUACCAAGGCAACGAUGCGUAGCCGACCUGAGAGGUGGUCCGGCAAAACGGAACUGAGAACACGUCCAGAACCCUUACGGAAGGCACAGGAGGGAAUUCUCCCGAAAGGGCCGAAGGUUUGCCGAGGAAAGCCGGGGUAGGUAUGGAGGUUUUCCGGUCCUUAAACUCUUUUAUUAGGGAAGAACAAAUGUGUAAGUAACUAUGCACGUCUUGACGGUACCUAAUCAGAAAGCCACGGCUAACUACGUG